AUUGAACGCUGGCGGCAGGCCUAACACAUGCAAGUCGAGCGGAUGAAGGGAGCUUGCUCCUGGAUUCAGCGGCGGACAGGUGAGUAAUGCCUAGGAAUCUGCCUGGUAGUGGGGGCUAACGUCCGGAAACGGGCGCUAAUACCGCAUACGUCCUGAGGGAGAAAGUGGGGGAUCUUCGGACCUCACGCUAUCAGAUGAGCCUAGGUCGGAUUAGCUAGUUGGUGGGGUAAAGGCCUACCAAGGCGACGAUCCGUAACUGGUCUGAGAGGAUGAUCAGUCACACUGGAACUGAGACACGGUCCAGACUCCUACGGGAGGCAGCAGUGGGGAAUAUUGGACAAUGGGCGAAAGCCUGAUCCAGCCAUGCCGCGUGUGUGAAGAAGGUCUUCGGAUUGUAAAGCACUUUAAGUUGGGAGGAAGGGCAGUAAGUUAAUACCUUGCUGUUUUGACGUUACCAACAGAAUAAGCACCGGCUAACUUCGUG
rnacentral:rRNA from 1 species